GUGAAGACCACGCUAGGACAUUUCCCUUGAACUGAGUCCAAAUAGACACCUUUAUUCAUUGAUCUGGCCAUUAUUGCAAAGCACCACUGUCGUCAGGGGUGGGCUGGUGGAUAAACCAUUACCUGUGGUUCUGUCCCCUCACCUGUUUAGAAAGAGGCAUACACGCCACAGUCCAAAAUCACAGCCAACCCUUUUGGAUCGUUGUUGAAAUAUUUUGCUUUCAAAGACCUAUACAUUUGUGCUGUGUGACACACAGAACUUCACAUUCAAAGCACACUCAAGCCAUACAACACAGCACCAUCAAAAGCCUCUGACAAUGAACACUAUAGGAGAAGAUAACACCAGCAGGUGCUCAAGGACAAAGAGGAAAACUCUGCCUCAGCAGAAAAUAAUAAAUCAGUUAUGCAAGGUAAGCUACGGUUUUGGGAUGUUUUCCCAGAUCCGAUGUCUCACUGUUUUUUUCCAGGUAAAAUUGUGCAGUAAUAAAGUGGGACUUCGUGGCUGCAUUCGAAUGGAUGUCUAAGAAUUAGUUUGUGCUAACUACCGUCUCUGUAUAAUAUGUUACCACCUUCACCCACUUCAGACAUCAGUUCCAUAACUCCCCAGAUGGACCACCCUGAGGCAGGGCCCUGAGGAGAGGGACCUGUGAGAAGGUGGAACUGCCAUAUGACAGAAGACUGAGAUCAGUGCCGGGGUCAGCGGAGCUCCCAAGUGACCAGCGACAGGGCCAACAGCCAACUGACUGCCUUCUCUACUCUGACCUCCCUUCGUUAGUAACCCCCUCCCUGGGCUUCUCCUCAGACCUGGGGCUGCUAGGGGGACCUAUUUGUGGUCCGCCACUCGUCUGAGGGGAAGGGGAUAGAGACUGAAGGAACAACAGCUGCUGAUGGGGACAUCACGCUUCCCAUGGAAGAGCAGCAUCCUCCUGAGAGAAGGUGCUGUAAUCUGCAAUAAUCGAAUUCUCAGACAUGCAUGAUAGCCAUAGUAUGUCUCGAAGCCACAUUGUACGUGAGUGAACACAUGACAUUGAACAUAUUGACACAUGACGUCGUGUGAUCUAUAUUGUAUUUACAAAAACAAUCAACAGUGCAAGUCAUAUGAUGAUCUUACAUGGAAAGCUCUUGAAAACGUUCACAGACACACACAAACAGAGAUAUAAAAGCAGUGUUAAAUAGACAAAGUGUUAUUAAAUGUAUUUUGUGUAAAGAGAAUCUUCUGGGGUGCCAGAGGAAUGCAAAGAAUUGUAGGCACUUUUUUCUGACAUGGUAUAGUGAUGCCAUCUAGAGUUGCAAUGUGUAACAUUCACACACAGCAAAGAGCCCAGUGGGUUCACUAGUAGCAAUACAAGGUGACAUCAUCUGUCUGAUAAACAGUCUUGUCUGUUUAAUAAUUUAUUUAAUAAAGUGUUAUUUACUUAAUUGACUUAA
rnacentral:lncRNA from 1 species